rnacentral:lncRNA from 1 species
AUGCAUGUACCACACAGAUACAUACAAAGGCAUCUGUCUAUAACAAAUAGAAGUCCUCCCUCUUCUCUCUCUGUCUCUGUCUCUGUCUCUUUCUCCCUCUCCCUCUCUCUCUCCCUAUCUUUCUGUCUCUUUUUUUCUCUCCAUUUCUCCCUCCCUCUCUCUGUAUCUUUUUCUCUCCAUCUCUCCCUCACCUUCUCUCUUUCUCAGUUUUGCUCCCUAUCUCUCUUUUUUUCUCUCUAUGUUUCCCUCCCCUUCUCUCUCUCUCUCUCUCUCUCUCUCUCUCUCUCUCUCUCUCUCUCUCUCUCUCUCUCUGUCUCUGUCUCUCUCUUUUGCUCCCUAUCUCUCUCUUUUUCUUCCUCUCCAUCUCUCCCUCCCCUUCUCUCUCUCUCUCUUUCUCUCUCUCUUUUGCUCCCUGUCUCUUUUUGUUUCUCUCCAUGUCUCCCUCCUUCUCUCUUUUUCUCACUCUCUCUGUCUCAUUCUUUCUCUCUCUCUCCAUUUCUCCUUCUCUCCCUCUCUUUCUCCAGCUCUCCUUCUCCCUUUUUCUUUCACUCUCUCUUUCUCUGUCUCUGUCUUUUCCCAUCUUUCCUUCCCCUUCUCUCUUUCUCUCACUUUCUCUGUCUCUAUCUUUCUCUCUCCAUUUCUCCUUCUCUCUCUCUUCCUCUAUUUCUGUUUCUUUCUUUCUCCAUCUCUCUUCCCCCCCAACUCAGUCUCUCUCUUUCUCUCUCCAUCUCUCCCUUCCACUUUUUCUUUCACUCUCUCUCUCUACAUUUCUCCUUCCCUUUUUUCUCUCUGUCCCUCUUUCUUUCUUUCUCUUUUCUCAUCUUUCCUUCCCUUUCCCUCUUUCACUUUCUCUGUCUCUAUAUCUCUCUCCAUUUCUCCUUUUCUCUCUUCCUCUAUUUUUCUGUUUCUUUCUUUCUCCAUCUCUCCCUCCCCCUUUCUUUCACUCUCUCUUUCUCUCUGCAUUUCUCCCUCCCUCUCUUUCUUUCUUUCUUUCUUUCUUUCUUUCUUUCUUUCUUUCUUUCUUUCUUUCUUUCUUUCUUUCUUUCUUUCUUUCUUUCUUUCUUUCUUUCUUUCUUUCUUCUCUUCCCAUCUUUUCUUCCCCCCCACUUUCUCUGUCUCUUUCUCUCUCCAUUUCUCUUUCUCUAUCCCUCUGUUUCCUUCUCUCUCCAUCUCUCCCUCCCCCUCUGGCUCACUCUCUCACGUAUCCAUACAUGCAGGUGCAUACACACGUACACAUACAGAGUUGUUAGAAUGAUGAGAAAUUGA